AAAGACGCAAGUCUUCAAGUAUCAUCACCCAUCCGGGUGUUCAGCUGAUUCUAAAUCAAACAUCAAAAUAUGUGGGGUCUUUUCUCCACAAGUAACAAAAAAUAAAUAAAUCAGAUAAGCACAGAGGGAAGGUAAACAUUAGUGCAAUUUAUUUUUAUGGGGGUUUUUGUCCCCAACUGAUCAUAAAUGCAUGUGUUGGCAUGUGUACUUACAUGGCUGUGGCCUCAUAGGUUAAGACUGCUGCUGGGGAUUGGGAUGGCGUGGGGGUGGAGAGGGUGAAGGUAAGUCAUUGAUUUUUUUUUUUCCCUCUCCCCCCUCCGUUUUCUCCAGGAUUUUGACAGAAUCAUAGCACCGUGGAAACAAAGAAACUGCUUUGUGGCAGAGGAAAACCUUUCAUUUCAGUAGCACUGAAUGGUGGCUUGCUGCUGAUAACAGCAUGGAUGAGCCGAAGUCAGCGCACACCGGUCUCCAUUUUAGCUUGCUCCUCCAUCAGGUUCGGGCCGCGUGAUGGCCGACGAUCUUCCUCGAGGUGCGACGCGUCGGCGCGGAUGAUCGCCAACGCAAAAAAAAAAAAAAAAAAAAAAAAAAACCCAAACGGGCAAACACUCUUGGUUGCGAGAUGUAAAUUGAUCCAGGAGCAACGGAGCCACGGUAACGGAGCCACAGAGAGCAGCACUGUACAUUUACCUGCAAUUAGAUUUGCCUGAGUAUCCUGCUGAGUGAUGGAGGCCCCUCCGACCUGGAGAUGGCAACAGCUCCUGUUCCUUCAUACGUUGUUCACGAGCGCAUUCGCCCUAGUGUGAAGUAAGCAUGUUUUUACGGGAUUUGAGUGAAAUCCAGUAAAUAUGGGAUUAGGUUUGUUUUUCUUUUUUUGUUGUUUUUUGUGUGUUUUUUUAAAAAGAAGAGAGAAAGUAAUGACCCAUCCAAGCUGUUGUGUUUAUAACACAGAAUGUUUAUUUGUACGCUUCUCCUUCUUGAACUUUUCUCACUUUUUUGGAGGAUUUUGUGGGAUGGACCAACACAAAUUUAUACAUAGUGGAUUUAUACAGGAUUUAAGUUUAGUAGGCCUGUGUGUUCUGGGUGUUUUAUUCUUAAAAUAAAAAAUCCUAUUGACC